rnacentral:rRNA from 1 species
GAUGAACGCUGGCGGCGUGCCUAAUACAUGCAAGUCGAGCGAACGGACGAGAAGCUUGCUUCUCUGAUGUUAGCGGCGGACGGGUGAGUAACACGUGGAUAACCUACCUAUAAGACUGGGAUAACUUCGGGAAACCGGAGCUAAUACCGGAUAAUAUUUUGAACCGCAUGGUUCAAAAGUGAAAGACGGUCUUGCUGUCACUUAUAGAUGGAUCCGCGCUGCAUUAGCUAGUUGGUAAGGUAACGGCUUACCAAGGCAACGAUGCAUAGCCGACCUGAGAGGGUGAUCGGCCACAAUGGAACUGAGACACGGUCCAGACUCCUACGGGAGGCCGCAGUAGGGAAUCUUCCGCAAUGGGCGAAAGCCUGACGGAGCCACGCCGCGUGAGUGAUGAAGGUCUUCGGAUCGUAAAACUCUGUUAUUAGGGAAGAACAUAUGUGUAAGUAACUGUGCACAUCUUGACGGUACCUAAUCAGAAAGCCACGGCUAACUACGUG